CACCUCCCACUGUUCCCCUGCCCAGCUGAGAUGUCAGGCCAGCCCUGCAUUGGCUAUAGGAAAGCUGCUCUGCUGAAGGGGCAGACAAGUUGUGGAUGAGGGCCCAGUGCCAGGCAGGACCGAUCAAGCCCAACUCACCUGCCCUGGCCCUGUUGGGCAGGAAUGGGUGUUACAUAGCUAGAUCUUUAAGCAUCAGAAAGACAGCUACCAGACCCACUAUGGCUGGGAGGUGGCAGGGGAUGGGAAAGGUGGCCCUGUCACCUCCGAGAAG
rnacentral:lncRNA from 1 species